AGUACUGUUCAAUUCUAAUUACACUUACAGACCUUUGUUAACGGAGUCUUUCACAAGAAAGUCACUUUUAGUAUGGACAUGAAAGCUCCAUCAGGGAAAUGUAAUAUGAACUAAGUAUCAAAAAGGACGUAUAUUUUCGACUAUAGAGGCCAAUUUCUUAAAUAAACAAUAUAUAUAUAAACAAGCUUUAUUUAUGCCAGCUUCAGUUAGCUUGCGAGCUCGUUCUUACCUGGAAAAGUUUAGCAAAACAGUUAUCUCAAUGAAAAUUUGUACAUAAGAUUUAUACCAGAAACAAAACAGUCCUCUUAUUUAGUGCUUAAAAAGGGGAUUAUUACUUUUUAAGUGCUGCUAAGAUACGCCUCGUACACCGGUUGUUUUUUUAUUUCUAUUUAUUGAAGAGCAAAACGCCAGAUAUAUGCAUACGGUUCCUCGCACAUGUCAACUCUUUCUAUCAAAUAUUGUGAUUUUGUGCUCCUCAGUCGUUUUUAAACUUAUUAUAUAAGUUGUUACCGUGUCUGAAGUCUUUUAAUAAAUCAUAACCAGUAACUUGAUACCUUUACAUAAAUUUACUAGAUGUCAAUAGGGAGUGAUUCGGAAGCAAAUUAUAAAAACUGAAUAAACUGGAGGCGUAUGAAUUUUUAAUUAAUAAACAUGAUACCUAAACGGACAGGAUGCCGAAAAGAGAAGUUAGGCAUCCCAAAAACUUCUGCAGAAAAAAAACAACGCAAAAUAGCUUCUCUUAACAACUGGUGUAUCCUAUAAUUGUCGCUGCUUUGGAAGGAAAUACGUACAAUUCUUCUGGAAGGUGAUAUUAACGGCAAAAUUAUUUUUUGCUAGCUUCAAUAGAAUUGAAAGGCGGAUUCAAAAAACUCAAUGACUCUACACUUCUCGGCCACGCACUAUAAUGAAGCAUU